GAAAAAUCAAACAGUUCACGGAGCAAAGUUACAGGAGGCCCAAGAGCACAGACCAAGACAGAUGGAUGCUUCUGCCUCUCAGAUGGGAAAACAAGAAUAAAUGGAGAAUGAUGAGAGCAUUGCUGUCUGUGGCCCAGCUGACUCAGAAAAGCCAGAGCCUGUUCCUCCAACAAGACUUGGCAAAUGGAGAACUCAUUUAUAUAAUGAAGACUCCAGGAACAGAGAAGUGAGACUUGGGAGCCAAGCAAUGUGUUGAGUUGAGGAACCCUGCCACCUUGUGUGAGGUUUUGAUAGGAGACACGGGAGCAUCUUCACUGGCUCCUGACCAUGAAUACCCAACUUGGGAACUCCAACAAUAAGCAUUGCUCCUGCCAAGAAAAGCUGGCUGACAUCCUGGAAGGUGUGCUGGAGUUGGGAUUCCCACUGCAGAUAGAAAUAUGGUUUAGCAUCUGGGGUGUUUUAAGCUGAAGUGGAGAGAGGAAA